CAGAAGGCACACCCGGAGAACUGAAACAUCUUAGUACCCGGAGGAAGAGAAAGAAAAUUCGAUUCCCUUAGUAGCGGCGAGCGAAACGGGAAGAGCCCAAACCAACAAGCUUGCUUGUUGGGGUUGUAGGACACUCUGUACGGAGUUACAAAGGACGACAUUAGACGAAUCAUCUGGAAAGAUGAAUCAAAGAAGGUAAUAAUCCUGUAGUCGAAAAUGUUGUCUCUCUUGAGUGGAUCCUGAGUACGACGGAGCACGUGAAAUUCCGUCGGAAUCUGGGAGGACCAUCUCCUAAGGCUAAAUACUCUCUAGUGACCGAUAGUGAACCAGUACCGUGAGGGAAAGGUGAAAAGCACCCCGGAAGGGGAGUGAAAUAGAACCUGAAACCGUGUGCUUACAAGUAGUCAGAGCCCGUUAAUGGGUGAUGGCGUGCCUUUUGUAGAAUGAACCGGCGAGUUACGAUUUGAUGCAAGGUUAAGCAGUAAAUGUGGAGCCGUAGCGAAAGCGAGUCUGAAUAGGGCGUUUAGUAUUUGGUCGUAGACCCGAAACCAGGUGAUCUACCCUUGGUCAGGUUGAAGUUCAGGUAACACUGAAUGGAGGACCGAACCGACUUACGUUGAAAAGUGAGCGGAUGAACUGAGGGUAGCGGAGAAAUUCCAAUCGAACCUGGAGAUAGCUGGUUCUCUCCGAAAUAGCUUUAGGGCUAGCCUCAAGUGAUGAUUAUUGGAGGUAGAGCACUGUUUGGACGAGGGGCCCCUCUCGGGUUACCGAAUUCAGACAAACUCCGAAUGCCAAUUAAUUUAACUUGGGAGUCAGAACAUGGGUGAUAAGGUCCGUGUUCGAAAGGGAAACAGCCCAGACCACCAGCUAAGGUCCCAAAAUAUAUGUUAAGUGGAAAAGGAUGUGGCGUUGCCCAGACAACUAGGAUGUUGGCUUAGAAGCAGCCAUCAUUUAAAGAGUGCGUAAUAGCUCACUAGUCGAGUGACACUGCGCCGAAAAUGUACCGGGGCUAAACAUAUUACCGAAGCUGUGGAUUGUCCUUUGGACAAUGGUAGGAGAGCGUUCUAAGGGCGUUGAAGCAUGAUCGUAAGGACAUGUGGAGCGCUUAGAAGUGAGAAUGCCGGUGUGAGUAGCGAAAGACGGGUGAGAAUCCCGUCCACCGAUUGACUAAGGUUUCCAGAGGAAGGCUCGUCCGCUCUGGGUUAGUCGGGUCCUAAGCUGAGGCCGACAGGCGUAGGCGAUGGAUAACAGGUUGAUAUUCCUGUACCACCUAUAAUCGUUUUAAUCGAUGGGGGGACGCAGUAGGAUAGGCGAAGCGUGCGAUUGGAUUGCACGUCUAAGCAGUAAGGCUGAGUAUUAGGCAAAUCCGGUACUCGUUAAGGCUGAGCUGUGAUGGGGAGAAGACAUUGUGUCUUCGAGUCGUUGAUUUCACACUGCCGAGAAAAGCCUCUAGAUAGAAAAUAGGUGCCCGUACCGCAAACCGACACAGGUAGUCAAGAUGAGAAUUCUAAGGUGAGCGAGCGAACUCUCGUUAAGGAACUCGGCAAAAUGACCCCGUAACUUCGGGAGAAGGGGUGCUCUUUAGGGUUAACGCCCAGAAGAGCCGCAGUGAAUAGGCCCAAGCGACUGUUUAUCAAAAACACAGGUCUCUGCUAAACCGUAAGGUGAUGUAUAGGGGCUGACGCCUGCCCGGUGCUGGAAGGUUAAGAGGAGUGGUUAGCUUCUGCGAAGCUACGAAUCGAAGCCCCAGUAAACGGCGGCCGUAACUAUAACGGUCCUAAGGUAGCGAAAUUCCUUGUCGGGUAAGUUCCGACCCGCACGAAAGGCGUAACGAUUUGGGCACUGUCUCAACGAGAGACUCGGUGAAAUCAUAGUACCUGUGAAGAUGCAGGUUACCCGCGACAGGACGGAAAGACCCCGUGGAGCUUUACUGUAGCCUGAUAUUGAAAUUCGGCACAGCUUGUACAGGAUAGGUAGGAGCCUUUGAAACGUGAGCGCUAGCUUACGUGGAGGCGCUGGUGGGAUACUACCCUAGCUGUGUUGGCUUUCUAACCCGCACCACUUAUCGUGGUGGGAGACAGUGUCAGGCGGGCAGUUUGACUGGGGCGGUCGCCUCCUAAAAGGUAACGGAGGCGCUCAAAGGUUCCCUCAGAAUGGUUGGAAAUCAUUCAUAGAGUGUAAAGGCAUAAGGGAGCUUGACUGCGAGACCUACAAGUCGAGCAGGGUCGAAAGACGGACUUAGUGAUCCGGUGGUUCCGCAUGGAAGGGCCAUCGCUCAACGGAUAAAAGCUACCCCGGGGAUAACAGGCUUAUCUCCCCCAAGAGUUCACAUCGACGGGGAGGUUUGGCACCUCGAUGUCGGCUCAUCGCAUCCUGGGGCUGUAGUCGGUCCCAAGGGUUGGGCUGUUCGCCCAUUAAAGCGGUACGCGAGCUGGGUUCAGAACGUCGUGAGACAGUUCGGUCCCUAUCCGUCGUGGGCGUAGGAAAUUUGAGAGGAGCUGUCCUUAGUACGAGAGGACCGGGAUGGACAUACCUCUGGUGUACCAGUUGUCGUGCCAACGGCAUAGCUGGGUAGCUAUGUGUGGACGGGAUAAGUGCUGAAAGCAUCUAAGCAUGAAGCCCCCCUCAAGAUGAGAUUUCCCAACUUCGGUUAUAAGAUCCCUCAAAGAUGAUGAGGUUAAUAGGUUCGAGGUGGAAGCAUGGUGACAUGUGGAGCUGACGAAUACUAAUCGAUCGAAGACUUAAUCAA
rnacentral:rRNA from 1 species